UACGUAGGGUGCAAGCGUUAAUCGGAAUUACUGGGCGUAAAGCGUGCGCAGGCGGCUAUGCAAGACAGAUGUGAAAUCCCCGGGCUCAACCUGGGAACUGCAUUUGUGACUGCAUGGCUAGAGUACGGUAGAGGGGGGAUGGAAUUCCGCGUGUAGCAGUGAAAUGCGUAGAUAUGCGGGAGGAACACCGAUGGCGAAGGCAAUCCCCUGGACCUGUACUGACGCUCAUGCACGAAAAGCGUGGGGGACAAACAGG
rnacentral:rRNA from 1 species